GGAGGGAGAUGCAUUCCCCCCACCCUUCUCCAUGACAAAGGGUGUGUACUAAAUUCCCAGAAUGCACUACUCUUCUAGUAUCCUGAACAUUAGCAACUGUGAAACCACAACAUUCACUGUUUCCUCCUGUAAACAAAAGUACUGAUGUGUUCAAAACAACAAAGCCUUCUUUGCACAAUGGUACUCAUGACAUGCAUAUCCCCAUGUUUUUUUUGGCCAUAGAAUUCCAGGAAGCUUCCCUCAACUGACACUUUGCCCUGGCACCAGACACUCAACAGCCGAGAGGAGGAAAUAUGAGUUUCACUGUAUAGGAUCAAAGUCUAAUACAAUCACAGUGGAAGGUUCACAACACCUUAGGUCUGGCCUGAGAUGCCAUCAAUAUUGUAUAUGUCACUAACAAGAGCUGAGUCUUCAGUAAUAGUAGUUAUUAAUGGAGCAAUUAAUUAAACAACUAAAUAUUUAUUGGCUCAACAUUGGCCUUUAAUUGUGACUUAAUGUCAGAGGAAUGGGAGUUCCUUUCUAGUGCUAGUAGAUAGAAGGAGAAAGAAAGCUUACUCUGGACGCAAAAUCCUGUGGUUCCCUCUUGUUCUCAUGAUAACAUCAGAGGCUUUCUGUUUAUGCAGCAGGUGAGCUAAUCCUGUCUCAGUUUACCUGUUGUCCUCCUACCUUGACUCCUCCCCUUGUUAAUGACACACACACACACAUACAUGUCCUGUGCACACACACACACACAUGUGCGCACUCAUGUGGGGUAACACUUUGAAUUACAUAGGUCAUUAAUGGACACAUACUCAAAACAAACAUAAAAACUCCAGAGAAAAUAAGCAUGUACAAUGGUUCAAAUGUGUGUGUGUGUGUGUGUGUGUGUGUGUGUGUGUAUGUGUGUGUGUGUGUGUGUGUGUGAGAGAGAGAGAGAGAGAGAGAGAGAGAGAGAGAGACAGAGACAGAGAGAGAUAGAGAGAGAGAGCGAGAGAGAGACAGAGAGAGAGAGACAUCAUGCCUAAGCUAGCACAGAUAGCCAAGAGGAGGAUUGGGGUGAAACAUCAUUCUCGCCACUCAGUAAGAACAGCCUGUUCUCAAGCAAUUACUAGACAUAUUUGUCUGUCUGACCCAUUGUGUUUUCUAGACUGGGGAUGACCUCACAGUGAACUUUAUGACAGAAAGUUUCGACUGUUUUCUUCUGUCAACUAUAACGGGAAUGGCCACAUCAGUUCACAUCAUAAGAGGGAACCUCCAAACCAUGUAGAUUCUGCAGCA
ensembl:lncRNA